rnacentral:rRNA from 1 species
CAAUACCGCUGACGACCGGCGCACGGGUGAGUAACACGUAUCCAACCUUCCCAUAACUCAGGGAUAGCCUUUCGAAAGAAAGAUUAAUACCUGAUAGUACUUAAGAAAGGCAUCUUUUUUAAGUUACAGAUUUAUUGGUUAUGGAUGGGGAUGCGUUCCAUUAGAUAGUUGGUGAGGUAACGGCUCACCAAGUCUUCGAUGGAUAGGGGUUCUGAGAGGAAGGUCCCCCACAUUGGUACUGAGACACGGACCAAACUCCUACGGGAGGCAGCAGUGAGGAAUAUUGGUCAAUGGGCGAGAGCCUG